rnacentral:rRNA from 1 species
UUGGAGGGCAAGUCUGGUGCCAGCAGCCGCGGUAAUUCCAGCUCCAAUAGCGUAUAUUAAAGUUGUUGCAGUUAAAAAGCUCGUAGUUGAAUUUCGGGGUUCUACCGUUGGUCGGGCUUUGUCUGUACUGGUGUGUAGAAUUUCUACCUUCUGGGGAACCAUCAUGCUAUUAAUUUAGCGUGGUGGGAAACCAGGACCUUUACCUUGAAAAAAUUAGUGUGUUCAAAGCAGGCUUAUGUCUGAAUACAUUAGCGUGGAAUAAUAGAAUAGGACGGUGGUCCUGUUUUGUUGGUUUCUGAAUCACCGUAAUGAUUAAUAGGGAUAGUUGGGGGCAUUAGUAUUCAAUUGUCAGAGGUGAAAUUCUUGGAUUUAUUGAAGACUAACUUCUGCGAAAGCAUUUGCCAAGGAUGUUUUCAUUAAUCAAGAACGAAAGUUAGGGGAUCGAAGACGAUCAGAUACCGUCGUAGUCUUAACCAUAAACUAUGCCGACUAGGGAUCGGACGAUGUUAAUUUUUCUUGACUCGUUCGGCGCCUUACGGGAA